AUUGAACGCUGGCGGCAGGCCUAACACAUGCAAGUCGAGCGAGCGGCGGACGGGUGAGUAAUGUCUGGGAAACUGCCUGAUGGAGGGGGAUAACUACUGGAAACGGUAGCUAAUACCGCAUACCAUCAGAUGUGCCCAGAUGGGAUUAGCUAGUAGGUGGGGUAACGGCUCACCUAGGCGACGAUCCCUAGCUGGUAUGAGAGGAUGACCAGCCACACUGGGACUGGGAAACGGGCCAGACUCCUACGGGAGGCAGAAGUGGGGAAUAUUGGAAAAUGGGGGGAACACUGAGCCAGCCAUGCCGCGUGUGUGAAGAAGGCCUUAUGGUUGUAAAGCACUUGAAGCGAGGAUGCGUUACUCGCAGAAUAAGCACCGGCUAACUCCGUGCCAGCCGCCGCGGUAAUAC
rnacentral:rRNA from 1 species